GAGUUUGAUCAUGGCUCAGGACGAACGCUGGCGGCGUGCUUAACACAUGCAAGUCGAACGAAGAGCGAUGGAAGCUUGCUUCUAUCAAUCUUAGUGGCGAACGGGUGAGUAACGCGUAAUCAACCUGCCCUUCAGAGGGGGACAACAGUUGGAAACGACUGCUAAUACCGCAUACGAUCUAACCUCGGCAUCGAGGAAAGAUGAAAGGUGGCCUCUACAUGUAAGCUAUCACUGAAGGAGGGGAUUGCGUCUGAUUAGCUAGUUGGAGGGGUAACGGCCCACCAAGGCGAUGAUCAGUAGCCGGUCUGAGAGGAUGAACGGCCACAUUGGGACUGAGACACGGCCCAGACCCCUACGGGAGGCAGCAGUGGGGAAUCUUCCGCAAUGGACGAAAGUCUGACGGAGCAACGCCGCGUGAGUGAUGACGGCCUUCGGGUUGUAAAGCUCUGUUAAUCGGGACGAAAGGCCUUCUUGCGAAUAGUGAGAAGGAUUGACGGUACCGGAAUAGAAAGCCACGGCUAACUACGUGCCAGCAGCCGCGGUAAUACGUAGGUGGCAAGCGUUGUCCGGAAUUAUUGGGCGUAAAGCGCGCGCAGGCGGAUAGGUCAGUCUGUCUUAAAAGUUCGGGGCUUAACCCCGUGAUGGGAUGGAAACUGCCAAUCUAGAGUAUCGGAGAGGAAAGUGGAAUUCCUAGUGUAGCGGUGAAAUGCGUAGAUAUUAGGAAGAACACCAGUGGCGAAGGCGACUUUCUGGACGAAAACUGACGCUGAGGCGCGAAAGCCAGGGGAGCGAACGGGAUUAGAUACCCCGGUAGUCCUGGCCGUAAACGAUGGGUACUAGGUGUAGGAGGUAUCGACCCCUUCUGUGCCGGAGUUAACGCAAUAAGUACCCCGCCUGGGGAGUACGACCGCAAGGUUGAAACUCAAAGGAAUUGACGGGGGCCCGCACAAGCGGUGGAGUAUGUGGUUUAAUUCGACGCAACGCGAAGAACCUUACCAGGUCUUGACAUUGAUGGACAGAACCAGAGAUGGUUCCUCUUCUUCGGAAGCCAGAAAACAGGUGGUGCACGGUUGUCGUCAGCUCGUGUCGUGAGAUGUUGGGUUAAGUCCCGCAACGAGCGCAACCCCUAUCUUAUGUUGCCAGCACUUCGGGUGGGAACUCAUGAGAGACUGCCGCAGACAAUGCGGAGGAAGGCGGGGAUGACGUCAAAUCAUCAUGCCCCUUAUGACCUGGGCUACACACGUACUACAAUGGGAGUUAAUAGACGGAAGCGAGAUCGCGAGAUGGAGCAAACCCGAGAAACACUCUCUCAGUUCGGAUCGUAGGCUGCAACUCGCCUACGUGAAGUCGGAAUCGCUAGUAAUCGCAGGUCAGCAUACUGCGGUGAAUACGUUCCCGGGCCUUGUACACACCGCCCGUC
rnacentral:rRNA from 1 species